rnacentral:pre_miRNA from 1 species
CUAAUACUCCAUCCGUCCGAAAAUACUUGUCCGAGGAAUGGAUGUAUCUAGAUGUAUUUUAGUUCUAAAUACAUCCAUUUCUAUCAUUUUUGUGACAAGUAAUUCCGGACGGAGGGAGUAGAAU